CCUACGGGGGGCUGCAGUGGGGAAUAUUGGGCAAUGGAGGCAACUCUGACCCAGCAACGCCGCGUGAAUGAUGAAGGUCUUCGGCUUGUAAAGUUCUGUGAUGAGAGAUGAACACAAUGACGGUACCCCAAUAGCAAGCCACGGCUAACUACGUGCCAGCAGCCGCGGUAAUACGUAGGUGGCAAGCGUUAUCCGGAAUGACUGGGCGUAAAGGGUGCGUAGGUGGUGUAGUAAGUUGGCGGUGUAAUUCCGGGGCUCAACCGAGGCGCUACCGCCAAAACUAGUAGACUAGAGUGCAGGGGAGGUAAGUGGAAUUCGUGGUGUAGCGGUGGAAUGCGUAGAUAUUAGGAGGAACAUCAGGGGCGAAGGCGACUUACUGGACUGUAACUGACACUGAGGCACGAAAGCGUGGGGAGCAAACAGGAUUAGAUACCCGGGUAGUC
rnacentral:rRNA from 1 species